rnacentral:rRNA from 1 species
UACGAAGGGGGCUAGCGUUGCUCGGAAUUACUGGGCGUAAAGGGCGCGUAGGCGGACAGUUUAGUCAGAGGUGAAAGCCCAGGGCUCAACCUUGGAAUUGCCUUUGAUACUGGCUGUCUUGAGUACGGGAGAGGUGAGUGGAACUCCGAGUGUAGAGGUGAAAUUCGUAGAUAUUCGCAAGAACACCAGUGGCGAAGGCGGCCUCACUGGCCCGAUACUGACGCUGAUGCACGAAAGCGUGGGGAGCAAACAGG